GACGAACGCUGGCGGCGUGCCUAAUACAUGCAAGUAGAACGCUGAAGGAGGAGCUUGCUUCUCUGGAUGAGUUGCGAACGGGUGAGUAACGCGUAGGUAACCUGCCUGGUAGCGGGGGAUAACUAUUGGAAACGAUAGCUAAUACCGCAUAAGAGUAGAUGUUGCAUGACAUUUGCUUAAAAGGUGCACUUGCAUCACUACCAGAUGGACCUGCGUUGUAUUCGCUAGUUGGUGGGGUAACGGCUCACCAAGGCGACGGUACAUAGCCGACCUGAGAGGGUGAUCGGCCACACUGGGACUGGGACACGGCCCAGACUCCUACGGGAGGCAGCAGUAGGGAAUCUUCGGCAAUGGACGGAAGUCUGACCGAGCAACGCCGCGUGAGUGAAGAAGGUUUUCGGAUCGUAAAGCUCUGUUGUAAGAGAAGAAAGAGUGUGAGAGUGGAAAGUUCACACUGUGACGGUAUCUUACCAGAAAGGGACGGCUAACUUCGUG
rnacentral:rRNA from 1 species